CAGGACGAACGCUGGCGGCGUGCUUAACACAUGCAAGUCGAACGAGGUUAAGUGGGAGCUUGCUCUGACUUAGCCGAGUGGCGGACGGGUGAGUAACGCGUGAGGAACCUGUCUCACACAGGGGAAUAACGCAUCGAAAGAUGUGCUAAUACCGCAUAUGACCACGGGAUCGCAUGGUUCUGAGGUGAAAGGAGCAAUCCGGUGUGAGGUGGACUCGCGUCUGAUUAGAUAGUUGGUGAGGUAACGGCCCACCAAGUCAACGAUCAGUAGCCGACCUGAGAGGGUGAUCGGCCACAUUGGGACUGAGACACGGCCCAGACUCCUACGGGAGGCAGCAGUGGGGAAUAUUGGGCAAUGGGCGCAAGCCUGACCCAGCAACGCCGCGUGAAGGAAGAAGGUUUUCGGAUCGUAAACUUCUGUCCUACAUGAAGAGAUAGAGACGGUAGUGUAGGAGGAAGCCCCGGCUAACUACGUGCCAGCCGCGGC
rnacentral:rRNA from 1 species